CAGUAGCCGCGGUAAUACGAAGGGGGCUAGCGUUGUUCGGAAUUACUGGGCGUAAAGCGCACGUAGGCGGACAUUUAAGUCAGGGGUGAAAUCCCGGGGCUCAACCACGGAACUGCAUUUGAUACUGGGUGUCUAGAGUAUGGAAGAGGUGAGUGGAAUUCCGAGUGUAGAGGUGAAAUUCGUAGAUAUUCGGAGGAACACCAGUGGCGAAGGCGGCUCACUGGUCCAUUACUGACGCUGAGGUGCGAAAGCGUGGGGAGCAAACAGGAUUAGAUACCCCCGUAGUCCCUGUCUCUUAUAC
rnacentral:rRNA from 1 species